AACUUGUAUCGCUUAAAAGGAUAAAUAUAUUCCCUGUCAACAGGAGUCAGCAUACGUGAUUACAUCAGGAGAGCCUAAGCUGAUAACUAGGAUGCACGUUUCAGCCUAAUGGGAAACAGAACAAUAGUAUCAUGUAAUAUCAGAGCUUAAUCACACUCACUUAUGAGUUAUUAAACACCACCCAUUUGGACCAGUUUUUCCAAUUCCACUCACACCAACCUUUCCUUACAAAUACCAGGAUGCAAGCUACAGAGGAGUAUUUAAAAAAGAAAUUCCCAGCGUUCAUGACAAGAUUCAGCUAUUACGGCAGCCUACUGCUGACAAGGAGGGAAAAAAGUUACUUCUCCUAAGCCAACGUUUUGCAAAACAAGCAGCUGACAUGACUGCAAACCCGUAGAGCGGUCUGCAGUACGAACUGAUCAGUCUUUGCAAGCGCCGUUUUAGAGGGCUGCCUCCCGCGCGCAGCAUGCUUCGCCUGGAGGAGCUGACGGGUUCUGGAGCCCACAAAGAACCAGGAGUCAGAAAGGGAUCGUUCAAGCACAAUACGACUGCAUAAUCUGCCUACGUUACAAGGCAAGAAGACGUGCAAAAACAGCAAUUACCAACUGCCAGCUUGGCGAUUCUUGCAAAUUUGGUUGGUCGGAUGAGUCGCUGCAAAACAAGGAGUAAUUGCGCUAUGUGUUGCUGGGAACCUGCCGGGAGACACAGUAAUCCUGCCUUAAGAACUACUGAAAAGAAAUUCCCAAAUCUUGUAAAAAUACUAACUUGCAGAAACUUGUUCCUUGGGGGGGGGACUCUGCUGCUAAAUACUGGAUGUUGACUUUUGUAGUAAUCAUGUUUCUCAACAAACCAAAAGAUAGAUAAAUGAGAAGAAAAGACUAAACAUACUUUGAAAAGGCAAAUGAAAUGUAUUUUCAUCCUCCUGGGGGUAAUUAGUUUUAUACAGCAUUUGCCAUUCAAAUAAAAAUCAUUUGAAUGCUG